AUGCACGCUGGCGGCGUGCCUAAUACAUGCCAGUCGAGCGAACAGACGAGGAGCUUGCUCCUCUGACGUUAGCGGCGGACGGGUGAGUAACACGUGGAUAACCUACCUAUAAGACUGGGAUAACUUCGGGAAACCGGAGCUAAUACCGGAUAAUAUAUUGAACCGCAUGGUUCAAUAGUGAAAGACGGUUUUGCUGUCACUUAUAGAUGGAUCCGCGCCGCAUUAGCUAGUUGGUAAGGUAACGGCUUACCAAGGCAACGAUGCGUAGCCGACCUGAGAGGGUGAUCGGCCACACUGGAACUGAGACACGGUCCAGACUCCUACGGGAGGCAGCAGUAGGGAAUCUUCCGCAAUGGGCGAAAGCUUGACGGGGCAACGCCGCGUGAGUGAUGAAGGUCUUCGGAUCGUAAAACUCUGUUAUUAGGGAAGAACAAAUGUGUAAGUAACUAUGCACGUCUUGACGGUACCUAAUCAGAAAGCCACGGCUAACUACGUG
rnacentral:rRNA from 1 species